GUCCAAAACUCCUUUUGUCCUAGGUCCGGGCUUGUCAUUAAUAUACUCGUUGUUGUGUUAACUGAAGUUUGUAUUCACAGCCAUCAAUUUCAAUGAGGGAUGCUGAGCUUCCAGAUGAGCUUCAACCUUGAAGUCAAUUUACCUUCUCUCUGCAGUUUCUCUCUUCAUGCUCCAGACUGCUCCAAAACUCUGAAAUGCCUACCUAGCAGGUAGAAGAACUCAAACUUUGGCAAGGGAAUAAUCCUGGGAUCAAGGAGGUACCUUUGCUGCUCCCAUGAAAAUCCAUUCAGAUAUGACUCGAUUUUGACUUGUCAAAAAAUCCUUAUUCCCCUUCGGGGUUUUCCUCAGCAGAGCUUGCUAGAGGAUUGCUUCUAAAAGCCCAAUAUUGUCUGUGCACUGACCAUGCUUUUGCUUCCACAUGGCGCACACAACUGAACAUCUGC